GGAAGUAAUCGUAACAAGGUUUCCGUAGGUGAACCUGCGGAAGGAUCAUUACUGAGUGAGGGCCCCUCGGGGUCCAACCUCCCACCCGUGUUUAACGAACCUUGUUGCUUCGGCGGGCCCGCCUCACGGCCGCCGGGGGGCAUCUGCCCCCGGGCCCGCGCCCGCCGAAGCCACCUGUGAACGCUGUCUGAAGUAUGCAGUCUGAGACAAUUAUUAAAUUAAUUAAAACUUUCAACAACGGAUCUCUUGGUUCCG
rnacentral:misc_RNA from 1 species